CGGGAGUCCGGGUGCCGCCGGUUACACUUCUGAGCGCCUUCGGAAAGCCACAGGGCAGGGGGAGUGUGUGCUGAGAAGCGGGGGGAGGAGGAGUAGGCAGGCCCAGCUUCUGGGCCAGCCCGGUGACACACAGAGAGGCAUAAACCCGGCUGGUGAUGUUGGGUCCGGGCGCUCACGUGUGUAGAGACCCACCGGCUUGUCCGUACGCCGUAAGGGCACCUGUCGUGUGAGUGGCUCCGGGCGUGGCUGCUCGCCGGACGUCCAGUUUCUGUAAGAUUGCUCUCUAGGGGCCUACCUAACCCGGGCUCCAGAGGGGAACGUAAGAAGUUUAACGGAGCCGGGUCUGAGCAGAUUAAGGGAGUGGAACAGCGGCUGGGCCCGAGAGGGUGGGGACUGCGGGGGCUGGGGGGUAGGGAACCACCUACUUGCCCGGUCUCCCCGGCAGAAAGGUCUUUUGGCAAGACUGGCUUGACAAAGAUGGCCCUGGAAUGUCUAGAGUCUGGGUCGUGAUGAUCACUGAGUGAGUGGCACCGGGCUGAGCCUGGGCAGUUUGUUGACUGACAAAGAGGGAUGCUAGCAGUUAGGAAGGUAAGGAGGAAACUCAGGAUGGGGACCAUCUGCUCCCCCAACCCCAGCGGGACAAAGACAUCAUCGGAGGUCUGCAAUGCCGACUGGAUGGCCUCGCUACCCCCUCACCUCCACAACGUCCCCCUUUCCAAUCUGGCAAUCCCAGGCUCCCAUGACUCGUUCAGCUACUGGGUCGAUGAGAAGUCCCCGGUGGGGCCUGACCAAACCGCAGCUAUCAAACGCUUGGCCAGGAUCUCCUUGGUGAAGAAGCUCAUGAAGAAGUGGUCCGUGACGCAGAACCUGACCUUCCGAGAGCAGCUGGAAGCUGGGAUCCGCUACUUCGACCUGCGCGUGUCUUCCAAACCUGGGGAUGCCGACCAGGAGAUCUACUUCAUUCACGGACUUUUUGGCAUCAAGGUCUGGGAUGGGCUGAUGGAGAUUGACUCAUUUCUUACCCAGCACCCCCAGGAGAUUGUCUUUCUGGAUUUCAACCACUUCUACGCCAUGGAUGAGGCCCACCACAAGCGCCUGGUUCUCCGAAUCCAGGAGGCCUUUGGAAACAAGCUGUGCUCCGCCUGCAGUGUGGAGAGCAUGACGCCGCGAGCCCUGUGGGAGAAGAAGUGCCAGGUUCUUAUUUUCUAUCACUGUCCCUUCUACAAGCAAUACCCCUUCCUGUGGCCCGGAAAGAAGAUCCCAGCGCCCUGGGCGAACACCACAAGUGUGCGCAAACUCAUCCUCUUCUUGGAGACCACUCUGAGUGAGCGGGCCCCGCGCGGCUCCUUCCACGUCUCUCAAGCCAUUCUCACCCCCAGAGUGAAGACCAUCGCCCGAGGCCUGGUUGGUGGCCUCAAGAACACUCUGGUUCAUAGGAAUCUUCCUGCCAUUCUGGACUGGGUGAAAACUCAGAAGCCUGGGACCACGGGUGUCAACAUCAUCACAUCUGACUUCGUGGACUUGGUGGACUUCGCCACGACUGUCAUUGAAUUGAAUGACCUCCUCCAGGAGGACAGAGCUCUGGCUAAAUGCUGAUUUGAUUUUUAUUUUAGUGUUGACUUUGUUGAUCCAGGCCAGAGUUCUGAAGGGUUUCCUGUUAGGACGGCCCCUGGCAGUGAUGGGGAAGGAGGAGGGGGAGGGCGUUUUCCCCUCUUCCUAGGGCCAUUUGGAUAAAAUUACAGAGCUUUCAGUUGCAUUUUUCCCAAAUGAGACUUUUUAAAAAACUGAAGUCCAAGGGAAGAAGCAUGUUUCGUGUGAUCAAAGUCAGGGUCUCCCCAGUGGUUCAUGAUGCUGAAUGUAAUGUGGAAACGGGGUCUCCAGCUUCCUUUGAGUGUCUCUGAGUUGACCCGGUUUCCUGCUGUCUUCCAGGAUGUUAUGUGUGAGCCUGUGAGAAGACUGAACCAGAAAGGCACUCUUAGGCAAAAGAAUGGCUCAUGGCAGAUCAAUUAUCUUCAGUGCUUCUUACCUCAAGAGCACUCACAAAGGAGCUGCCUGAACUCUUCUCACCCAGGCCGACGCUGCCCUGCUCUUCAACAGGCCUGUGCGUUUCAGGCCUGUGAGUGACCUCUGAGUGACCUCUGACUCGCCUGCAGAUGUUCCCAGCUCCCCCAGUCCUGUCGGGACAGUGUGCAUUGUGUGAGUGUGGCCCAGAGCAGAGAAGCCCCUCCCGGGCCCCGAACGGGGGGCCUGAGGAUGCAAUGGGUCAUGAAGAACCCUCAGUUCUUGAGGGAGACUCUCUUAUAGAGGGUUCGAAAGGAAGGAUCUGGAAAGAAAACUGGGCAUGGGUGUGUGUACAUGCCAAUGCUGCUCAGAUCUGUCUGAGGAUCCCUAAGGAAAGGUCACCUCUGGAUUCUUAAGGCAGAAAGAUAAACAUGGACUCCUGGUCAGAUAUGUGUAUGCUUAAGUACCAUUGGGCCAUCCCCCAAGCGGCUCGCCAUUCCUCUUUUGCCGGUGCUCACGGCUGUGUGGCGGCAGGCCCCAGGGGUGAGCUCCCGAACGCGCACGCGCAGCUCGCACUCUUCCAGUGUCUCUGUAAAGUCGGUUCAUCCCUGACCUUUAGCUCCUGCGGCUGGAGGGGGGUCACACACAAAUGCCUCUGGGAAAAUCUGGUAUAAUUUUUCCUUGUUCUUGCAUUCGAACCCCCACUCCGACAGGUUUCUGGGAUUGUACUGUCCUUUUUUAGGGCCUUCCGUGGAAAGGAGUAAGAACAGAAGUGCCCUCGCUUUUUCAAUUGUUCUUCAGUUCUGCUGUUGAACCCCAGUGACAAGCUUGAAAAUCCCUGGCCUACCCUCAGGAUUUUAUUUGUGUUGUUAUUGUUUCAUUUUGGUCUUAUUUUUAACUCUUGAUUGAUUGCUAGGGACUAGAUGGUCUCCCCUCUUUUAAUCCUUUGUAACUUGGCAAAGAGAUCAGGAGGCAAGAGGAGAAUUACUCUGCUCUGUUUUAUUUGAGCCUCAGCUUUGUCCAGGUGCUUGGUGCUAUGAGGCCAGGUGUGUUGGCGGGGACCUACACAGGAUGCCAGUGACACCCAAGGGCUGCUGACUGUUCAGUGAAAUGUUUACUUGAUUUUUUCCCUUUCGUUUUAAAAGAUAUAAUUGCACUUCACUUGGGUUGUAACAUUUAAGUGCAUCUCAGUAUUUGCCUGGUAAGAGAAAAGUCAUCAAGCAUGACACAAAAGCACAGGAAAUGGUCCCAAGGUCAUGGGCAUGGAGUCCUGCUCUAUGUGGCAAGUGCAGGUGCUUGUCCCUUCUUACUGCUCUGGGUUUCCAGCCUGGCUUGCAUUCUCAAAUUCUGCCCAGGAGUUCUGGGAGAUGGGAGCAAGAUUAUUUGCAGUUCGCCCUUGAUAAACACCCUUGAACUGACAGAAUCUCUGCUCCAAGAAAAAGUCGUUCACCAUAUUGCAAAGGAGGUAUGCAUUCUGCUCUUGGACCUAAGGCCAAGCAGGAGACUCUGUGAUGGGACAGAGGGACAAUAGACUUUCGGUCUAUGACAUAAAAAUGGUUGAUCCAACCACAUCAUUUAUUCUCACAAGAUCAAACAAGGCUAUCAUGCUUACUCAGAAUUCACUUCCAAGAUCAACUAAAGAGCUACUUGACUGAGCCAAAGAGGGCUUUCGUUUCACAGGAUUUGGGGCAUAGUUCUUCUGAAAUGUAGGCUGCUUUUUCAUGAACUCUCUGGACCAUUCGCCACAUUUCCAUGGCUUUGUGGCCAAGGGGACAAUCACAGGUUUCAGUUAGAUUAGAGCACUGUAUAAAGGCUUGAACUUGGAGUCUAUAAGAGGUACCACUGUGGUUUUAUGGGCACAGAAGAUAUUCUUAGGGCUGGAGAGAUAAGUCAAGAUGGAACUGAUGGAAGGGAUGAUAAAUGAUUGUGGUUUAAAUCUUAAACUAAUGGCAAACUGAAGAGGGUCAUACCAAGAACUAUUAUAUAUAUGCUGUAUGAGACCUCUAAUAAUUACAUUUUGUUAUUUCCUCAGCACUGAGUCCAGACCCCUGGAUUCUUGAGAAUUCUUGAGAAUAGUUAGGCCACAGUCCAAACCCAGGAUUUUUAUAUAUACUCAAGGAAAAGCACAAGAUCUGAGCCCAGGUCACGAUUAAUCUUAAGAAUCCUAGUUCUUCUUUCAUGACCUCACAUUCACAUCACAAAGUGGAUGUUUCUGUUCAAGAAGGUGACGUGGUGGAACACUCCGGAACGAAAAGCAGUUUUGUGGUGGGUCAAGAUUUUGUUUCUGUUUUUCUGAAUCCUGCCAUAAGAAAGUGUCCCCCAAAGAGAUGUGAUUACAAAGUGGUAAGAAAGUUUAGUGCUAAGCUUUAGUACUAAGCUAACGGUGGAGAAACAGAAGAAAUUCCAACUGAAAUGAAAUGGUUUCUCUUCAUGGAAGCACUAGGGCUACACAACUUCAGGCCAUCUCAUCAAAUGAGUUCGUGCCCUGGUGAAGUUUUUGUAAUGUUCUUUAUUGGCUGACUACAGUUUUUUACUGGGAGGUUCUGGGAAACGGAACAGGCUAACAAGUGGGUCCCAGCCACGAGACUUCUCUCUCGUGGCUUUCCAGUUCAGUGACCCUGUGCUACAUCUGCCUUGGAUCCUUAAUCUGGAAUAAAGAUGCUGUCUGCCACAUUAGUGCUGUUCUGCAAACCUUGGUGGAUUAGCUCCCCAAAAUAUCAGGCCCCUUAUGGUUAAAUUAUAUGUCUCCUACUCAUUCUUCCUGUGCUGCAUGUGUGAAGAAAUGCUAUUUGGGUUCAUUUCUCAAAAGUGUGGUGUAGGAUGAUGGAACUGGCAUGACACUCACGUCGAAUGAGAUGAGUGGAGCUGCGUGAAAUCAGCUGGCAAGCUCUCGAGUUCCUGAGAGGUGGGCUUUCCCAAGUGCAUGCUAAACGGUCAUGUUAUGCUUGAGGGAAUGAACAGAAACUGAUAACAUCAAAUAUCCUGGCAGGAAGUUUUGUUUUCUGUGGCAUAGAACAUGGCUGUCCCUCAAAAUUCUGCUACCUUUCCCGUCUUCCUUGGCCUUCUGCCUCAGAUGGCUUUCUAGUAUUUGACAUCACAACUUUGUCACUCACAGAUGUCACCUUGGGAUGCACAGAAGUGAAUUGGUUAGGUGAUAAGUGAUUUAGCUGGAAAUUGACUCUAAUUCCCAGUGAUCAUGAACAGCUCUUUACUACCCCAGGAGACGUACUAUCUCCUUAUCUUCUGGCUUCCCCGGCUUCCAACUAGAAAUAUUGACAUUAAAGCUACUAUAUUGCUACAUGGACCCUUAACCCGGAAGAAUACAGUACAAAAUGCUAUUGAUAUUGUUGAAAUUGUGUCUUAACAUGCUUUAAAAGUAUUCUAAGAGAACUCUUUCAAUCCUGCAGUGAUUAACAGUGUUCUAGUCUUUUCUCUAACAAAACUUAUUCUUAAGAAUUUUCAGACUCGUUUCUAAGCCUAUGUAGUUUGGAUACAACAUUUCUUUCUUCUCUUCACUGGGAACUCAAUCCCACAGUCCGCUGAGAUAACCCCAUCCAUAGUCAAGAGGCAUUUUCCUAUCUCAUUCCUUCUGAUCUCUACAGAAGACCAUUUUCCCCUCUUGUCUCUUGGGUAUCCUUUAGCAUCUGCUGGUUACGAUGAAUAACAGAAUGCUGGCAAAACUUACACAAAAAGGCACACGCAUUCAAUGAUGUCCAAAUGCAUUCUUAUCAUGGUGGUGAUUGCGUAAUUCUGCCCCCACCCCCGCUCCGCCUCACACAGAAUAUGAUUGGAACCCAGAACCAGGGGCCACCGCUUCAUUCAAAUAGUAGGAGCUCGCUCUCAAGCAUGGAGCCCAAUGAGAAGCAUAACACUUUGAAGUCAAAUAGACCCUCAGUCGCUUUGUAUAUCUACAGUUUUACAUUUGCUGUUUAUAGCACUAAUAACACUGUGGUCACGAAUCUGUGAUAUCAAUAUGAUAAAUCUGAGAACAUAUUCUAGACACAGUGCUACCUUGCUGCUACUAUACUUUCUGGCUUAUGCCCCAGUAUUAAUAAGUAUCACAUACAGAUUGUAUAUGCAUUGUUCAUACUGGAUAAUAUGCCAACUAUAAUACUUAACCUCACCGAUCGGCACUUAGAAAACAAGAGAUUAUCAUAGUGAAAAUACGUCUUGGUCAAUUCAGAUGACAUGUGAAUCUGAGAAAUAUUCUAUUAGAUAUUAUGUUUGUCCUCUAGGCUUGUUUUAUAUUACAGUGCAUGCUGUUUGCUAAGUUAAGUAAAAAAUGAUAAUAAACUAUACCAAUUAAAGGUUAGAGUGAAAAUUUUACAUAUAUCCUGCUUGGUACUCUGAAAUGUAUUUUGUGGCUUAAUUAUCUUAUUCACACACAUUUCACUUGGCUUUUUCCCCCCUAGGAAAUCAUUUUUCAAAUAUAUUUUUCCUUCUUUCUUAUAAACUGGAUCACACUGCUUAAUUCAACCUAAAACAUUGUAAAGCCGGAUUACCUCAUUUUAACUGUGAAAAAAAAUUAAUAGAUAUGAUGACAUAAUGUCUUUUCUUGUAUUUUAUUUGAACUACCUAAAUAGGCUUAAACCUAAUAAUAAAUAUAAAACUUCAGCAGGCA